rnacentral:rRNA from 1 species
AGAAGGUUUUCGGAUCGUAAAACUCUGUUGUUAGAGAAGAACAAGGACGUUAGUAACUGAACGUCCCCUGACGGUAUCUAACCAGAAAGCCACGGCUAACUACGUGCCAGCAGCCGCGGUAAUACGUAGGUGGCAAGCGUUGUCCGGAUUUAUUGGGCGUAAAGCGAGCGCAGGCGGUUUCUUAAGUCUGAUGUGAAAGCCCCCGGCUCAACCGGGGAGGGUCAUUGGAAACUGGGAGACUUGAGUGCAGAAGAGGAGAGUGGAAUUCCAUGUGUAGCGGUG